GCCUGGGUGGCUCAGAGGUUGAGCAUCUGCCUUUGGCUCAGGUCAUGAUCCCGGAGUCCCAGGAUCGAGUCCUGCAUCAGGCU
rfam:Canis lupus familiaris chromosome 35, whole genome shotgun sequence.